GUUUCCCACUGCCAAAGAUUAUGCAGUUGAGUUCUCCACAUUUGGGGAAAUUGCAGGGAUCAGCACAUCCAGAGUGCAAUGAAUAAGCCUCACCCUGGGAAAAUCACCUUUGUGAUGAUGGUAUUUCACCUCCUAGAAAGAAUCUACAAAAUUUAUGAAGAAGUAGGUUGUAAGGAGCUACUUAAGCAAGAAUAUCUUUCUGGCUGGAGAGACAUGGUUCUUCAUGGAGUCUACAGACAGGGAACAUCCUUUUCGAACUAAAAAAAAAAAGAAAAAACCCAACAUGGGUUGUAAGUUCUUCUCUCGUGAAGCCAUCUACAGAAUGGCCAAUUAUUCUCUGUCGUUGAUCUG